CCAGACUCCUACGGGAGGCAGCAGUGGGGAAUAUUGCACAAUGGGGGGAGCCCUGAUGCAGCGACGCCGCGUGGGUGAAGGAGCACCUCGGUGCGUAAAGCCCUAUCGGCAGGGAAGAAAAAGACGGUACCUGACUAAGAAGCCCCGGCUAACUACGUGCCAGCAGCCGCGGUAAUACGUAGGGGGCAAGCGUUAUCCGGAUUUACUGGGUGUAAAGGGCGUGUAGGCGGGUGCGCAAGUCAGAUGUGAAAGCCAGGGGCUCAACCUGGGGCCUGCAUUUGAAACUGUGUUUCUUGAGUGCUGGAGAGGCAGACGGAAUUCCUAGUGUAGCGGUGAAAUGCGUAGAUAUUAGGAGGAACACCAGUGGCGAAGGCGGUCUGCUGGACAGCAACUGACGCUGAGGCGCGAAAGCGUGGGGAGCAAACAGGAUUAGAUACCCUCGUA
rnacentral:rRNA from 1 species